UGGGUUUCCACCCUAUUUUAAAGAUUUUGAAUAAAAAUACAAACUCUAAGAUUAGCAUAAAUUUUGCUUUGAAGACCAAGAGGAAGUUAUCAGCUGGAACUGAUCCGCAAUGAGAGAUGUAACUGCCUGACAAGAGACAUAAGCCAUGGAAGAAAAGAAAGAAAAUAAACAAACCUCAAACAUGGAUCCAAAAUAAAAAGGAGCAAGAAAGAUGAUUCAAUUAUAGGAAUUGAUGUAUGACUGUGCUACUUCCCACAAGGGCAAAUCUACCUGUCCCUGGGUGAAUAACAGCAGGGAUUCAUGUAUAUGGUGAAAGCUAACAAUUCUCCCCUGAAUACCAGAAUUCCCUGUCCACAAACAGCUCAAAUGUCAUGGGUGGACCCAUAAACAGAAAUGCGAGGCUGUGGUUUGACAAGGACAGAAGUAGCAGCAUAUAAAAUUGUUGUCCGGAAGAGUGGUCCAUCCACCCUCCCUGAAGAACUAGGAUCUUUCUACCGAAGGAGUCCCAUGGGAAAACUAGGAAUUGGCGAGGUGGGAGGAGCUGACACGGUAUCUGUGGUGGAUGGGAGUGCAAAUUUGAAUACACACGAUCAUAAAACAGGAGAGACAGGAAAAGAGAUGAAAAUUGGGCUGUAGACAGACUGCAAAGGAUUUCAAUUUUCACAUUUCAUAAAGGUAACUGCUAAAGUUUAUUCCAAUCAUACUACAGGGCAGGUAUUAGGCUAAGCACUUAUUUUAUUUAAUAUUCGUUCCUGAGUUAUCUGCCUAAGUCCACUUUAUAGACUGAGAAACUGCCAUGCAGAGACAAAUAUGUAUUCUGUAAGAGGUAAGAAAGCCAGAAUAAUUCCUAAUUGCAAGAUGGGUUAUUUGACGAGAGCAGGAAAUAUUUGGAAUUUAAAACUGGAUUUUGAGGCUGAGUGCUGUGGCUCACACCUGUAAUCCCAGCACUUUGGGAAGCGGAGGUGGGCAGAUCAUUUGAAGUCAGGAG
rnacentral:lncRNA from 10 species